UACAGAGGUGGCAAGCGUUGUUCGGAAUUACUGGGCGUAAAGGGCGCGUAGGCGGCCCGCUAAGUCGAACGUGAAAUCCCCCAGGCUCAACCUGGGAACUGCGUCCGAUACUGGCAGGCUUGAAUCCGGGAGAGGGAUGUGGAAUUCCAGGUGUAGCGGUGAAAUGCGUAGAUAUCUGGAGGAACACCGGUGGCGAAGGCGGCAUCCUGGACCGGUAUUGACGCUG
rnacentral:rRNA from 1 species